CGGAUCCGGCCCUCAACCGCGGAGGGCGCCAUGGUCGGUGGCGAGGCGGCCGCAGCCGUGGAGGAGCUGGUUUCGGGUGUGCGGCAGGCGACCGACUUCGCUGAGCAGUUCCGCUCCUACUCGGAGAGCGAGAAGCAAUGGAAGGCCCGCAUGGAAUUCAUCCUACGCCACCUGCCCGACUACCGCGACCCGCCCGAUGGCGGCGGCCGCCUGGACCAGCUGCUGUCCCUCUCCAUGGUCUGGGCCAACCACCUCUUCUUGGGUUGCAGUUACAACAAAGACCUUUUAGACAAGGUGAUGGAAAUGGCUGAUGGGAUUGAAGUGGAAGACCUGCCACAGUUUACUACCAGAAGUGAAUUAAUGAAAAAGUGUCAGCCUCCAGAGAGGAGUCCUCAGAGAUGAACUUUGGCGUCCCUGAAACCAGCUCUGCCAUCAGACUAAUCAUUGGCACCUAGCUACCUGGAAGAAGCCUACAGGGAGCCUGUAUUUCUAUAGCACUUUUGGAUUAUAAAUAGAAGAAGCCAGAAAAGCUCUGUCUGACCCCACAGGCCAGUUUGUUGCCUGGUGCCCAGGAUGAGUGAAUCACCUGCCAACACCUUGUGUCAGAGACCAUACUUGCAGCAGCCAAAGCCAGUGGCAGCUCUUCUGCUGCUAUAGUCUUGGUCUAUUCUAUUGGAAAUUUCAGAGAUGACUUAGGGGAUUCUCUUUCCCUUUGGACUAAAGAUGGUUUCUUUAGCAUCAAAGCUAAGGCAGAAGAUUCAUCACAUUUUCAUCCCUAGUUACACGCGUGGAAAGGAGGCUGGGAUGAAUGUAACAUUGACCACAGCAGCUCUCUUAAGACCCUUGAUAUUAACAGUAUGUAGGAAAGAGGAAAUUGGAAUGAAAGGGAAUCUUGUCUAGAUUGGCGUUUUAAAAGUUCUCAUUCUUCUAGUAGUUAUCUUAAAAGUAUGCAUGGGUAUUUAUGUUUUUAUUUUCAGUUUUUGAAUGUUGAUCAAAAUGUUAAAAAUGCCUUUUUUAAAAAAUGUUGAUGUUUUAAUGGCAGGUAAUGAAUUUUAUACUUUGGAUUUUUCAAGAGUG